AUGAUUCGUACCUCAGCAGCAUCCCAAUUUAGUUUCUCAUCAAAAUAUCCAUAGCAGUUCCCCUGUUUCUGCAGCCAGUCUCUGGGGCAUGAUGCAGCCUUGACUGCAAGGAGACAAAACGAGAAAAAACAUGCAGGGGACCUCUUCAGUUGGGAGUAGACAUGACUGAAAGGGUUGAGGGCUGCUUCUCAGCCUUUCAACUUUUUGAGAGUGGAAGGAGACCAUCUGCUAAAUUGUCCAUGGACUUCGCCAGUUAUGAAGUGCCGUAUGGAUGGAUUAUGUAUGGAUAACAAAGAGCAUCUAACCAACACUUGCCAAGAAUGCCUUCAGCCUCUCACCUUGCAAAGCUCUUCAACUGGAGAAGUUGAGUUGGUGGAUGGUUGGACUGGUG